UGUGUAACUGUAUGUGCUAUACUCUUAUACAAGUGGUAGUGCAGUAGGCUUGUUUGCACCAGCAUCAGCACAGACACGUGAGUAAUGCAUUGCUUUACGCUGCAACUCAUGUUGGCUGUGACGUCACUAGGUGAUAGGACUUUUUCAGCUUCAUUAAAAUGUUAUAGGACCACCGUGGUAUAUGGUAUAUAAGGUCCAUCAUUAACCAAAACAUUGUUAGGUGGUAUAUGAUUGUGUAAGAAUGAGAAAGACAGUAUGAGAGAAGAAAUGAAAAGCCAUCAAACUAGAAGUAUCUUGGAGAAAGUGCCCAAAACAAGCUGGUAAAGGCAGCUUGUUUUCCCACCUGGAUGAACUGGCCUGAAGGAUGCCUCUCACAGCCUUUUCAGAGGGGUAUCCUUUAUCUGCCUUUUCCAGUUUGGAAACCUUCCGGAGAAAACAUUCCUUUCUAGUAGAAAGAGAAUGAGAGUGAAAGCAUUCUUUGUCUGCAGAUUCCUGGGACGGCUUUGAAGAGACUGAGUAAAUGACUGGUGAAAUAAACCCCGCCUCCCUAUUUGUAACUGUGUCAGUGACAAUAUCCUGUGAUGAUUAAAACAGAACAAAACAAAAAAACCCAAAACUGUUGGUCUCCAGACAACUUUUAACCUAAAAUGCUUUGAUAAAAAGCCUUGCAGGAUAAUCAGAGGAUAUGUUCUGUCCGACUCCAGAGUCACAAAGCACAUUCUAACCUGGCUGAGAGUUGCACGCCCUGGGACAGGAAUGCAAUCCAUUCUUCUUUUUCUGAGGACGGCCUGUCAUCAUGGAAAGAUGAACAACCUUGUUGCUGAACCAAUCUGGUCUCGGAGGGCUGGCCAUUUACACCCCCCCAGCCUGCAUUGCCUAUAACCUGUAACCAUUAUAUCUUGCCUACUUCCCCAUGCUUGUAAUUCCUACUUUUCCAUGCAAUCUUUGUCUCUUCUCCCCUCUACCCAAUAUAAGCAGCUGGCUUAUGGGAAGGGGACAGCAGGAUUUUGUGCACGAUCUACUGCUCUCCUGUACCGCCAGCUUCAUUUAAAUAAAUGCUCAUAUAUGAUUCAA